AAAAACUUUGCUCUUUGAACUCUAAGUGCCCUCUUUCUCCUGAAAGAAUCGAUUGAGAUUCCGAGCAGUUUUCGCUCCACAAUUUUUUGGAACAAACAGCUACCUCUAAAUCAUAUAAGUUUAAACUACUAGAAGAUCAUUUUAACUUGUAUGUAAAUACAGAUAUAUUCUGAUGAAACCACUGUAUGUUUUUCUUCUUAGCAGGGAAGGUAGGAGCGUUGACAAUGGCCCUUUCUGAUCUGCUUUGGAAUGAUAUGGUUGCAGGCCCUGAUACACAAAGGUUUCCUGUUCCCUACUUGUAGUGAACCAAAAUUGGAAAUGAUCCCAUCUCCUUUAUCCUUUGGAUUCAUUCCUCAAUAUGAGAAAAUGGUCCUUCAAUAUUCAAUAAAAACUUGCUCAUUGUUUAGCAGUUUGUCGGAGUUAACACCGAGCCGACUGCAGAAAUGGCAAUUACAAGAGAAAGGCAAUGGGUUAAUGUUAAUGAAAACCAACUUUAAGUACGAUUUUCACCUACGAACUGUGAGUAAUUAUCCACUAAAUCAGAUUGUUUACCUAUUAUCACCACAGUUUUUCUGUAGCACAGAGUCCUAAUUUUAUAAUUUUCAUCACUUUCUCCAGAAACACCUCUUAAAAACGACAAGCACGAAACAAAUGUAUCAAAUUGUUCUUCUUCUUGAAAGUAAAGAAUUCCAAAUCCACAGGCAAUCUCAUGAACAUGAUUACUCAUGCUUGGAAUUUGGACAUAGAGAUCUACUGUAAAUCUUCAAGAUUAUUUUCUUCAACAUUAGAACAAGAAACACCUCUAAGCUUGAACAUUAACUUUAUGAUCUCAUGUGCUUUAGUGGGUACAUUUUAACCAAUAUGUUUUUGAAGACUUGUGGGCUGAAAUAAUUUUUUGCAAAUACAAAAUAAUUUGUACAAUUAUGAUGAAUUUAUUUUCAUGGAAAAAUAUUUUUGAAAUAUAUGAUUUACUAAUAUACACAUUAUAUAUUGUUUAUUUUUAUUUGUUUAGAUAUUAUAAUUAUUACUAGUUAAAUUUAUAUAGAACAAAAACUAAUUGAAUUAAUAUGUAUGGCUAUUUCAAAUACAGUAGCAAAUUUAGAAUAUAAGUGCACCAAAUAAUAUCAGCCGUCAACUAUAUAAUAUUCAUUAGCACAAGUAAUCAAUUAGUACAAUUGUUCAAUGGACUCCUAAUAUGAGAUCUAUCUAUAUUAGUUUAGAUACAACAGAAAAUCUGAAGUGUUACUUAUGCUCUUAAAUAUAUGAUGACAAACAAGUAGAAUAACUCGUUAAAGUAAAAAUUAAAAUCUAUCACGACCGCACAAGAAAUUCUUGAACUGCAUUAUAAUAAUGUUCUCAAGAUUCAGUUCUACUUGAAUAAAUUUAUAUACUGAAGGGUGUUUCCAUCGUGGACGUGAAUGAUAGAAACAUCCUUGAAAAUUACAUCCAUGUUCAAUGCCUGUAAGGAACAUGGUCCCAAAUUAAAGCACAAGUCUAUGAAGACAUUCCCAAAACUAGGCACGAUUCCUUAUAGCUAUACGGUCACACACAAGUUGGAACACAACAUUAACUACGGAAGCACAGUCUAGCAACUGGACACAUUUGAAAUCAAUUGGGGACAUAAUCUUAGACUCAACGAAAAACUUGACCUAAGCCAAGAUGAUCCUAACACAACCCACCCUAGUGCAUGGUCGAAAUCCUAAAUUUGGAUGUAUUCCCAUGUCAGACCAUGACACAACUGAGGGCACAACCAAAUCCGACCAUGGACAAUGCCCAAUCAAUAAGCUAGAUAGAGAUACAAUCCUACCCCGGGAAAUAAGCUCAAGGACAACUAGGGUAUGAACCUAAGACUAAGCAUGACUGCAUAGCAAAUCUAGACAAGGCCAUCAUCCAGCAUAAUGUUAAGUCCAAGCAUGAGUUCAACCCAGAAAAAAUCAAUGAACUUUAUUAAAAAGAAAAAGUUAACUGUCUCAAAGAAAAAUUUAGUCUCAAUCCAUCAUAUAGCAAAUUGAUCAGAUCAAAAUUUUUUAUUAAUAUUCUCUUUGUAUUUUCCAGUGUUAUUUAUCACUUCUUCCGCAUGACCACUAAAUGCUACACAAGUCUCUUAAAUAAACUGUUUUUAACACUACUAUCAAAUGCUAUCCAAGUCUCUUUUCAGAGACAGAUAUAUCCACCUUUUUUCAAACAGCAAUACCAAUGGUGUAAUUUGGUUGGACUUCAUAUUUGUUUUUGUUGUCCCAACAAAACCUAAAGGAUUAUUCAGAACUGACAUGCAAACAAGAAAUUAGGAACAGGGAAAGUAGAAAACUAUACAUUUUUUUGCUUGAAACUCCCAUAAAAUAAGGAAACUCCAAAAAGCAGUUCUUUUUGAAAGGUUCCCCUCAUCUGCUUGGAAGGAUAUCUGAAAAUGAGAAGUCGUGGAAUGGUGGACCUGAAAAAGAGAAGUCAUACUUAAAUCCAAUUAGAGGGUUGCAAAAAGUUAUCAGCUUCAAAUACACAUCAUUCAUAGUUCUAUAAUAAUUGUUGACGAAAGAACCAUCUGGCGUGGUUUCUUCUCUUUUUUCCUUUUCUGUGGCUUUAAGCUGAUACUAGGAGANN
rnacentral:lncRNA from 1 species